AGUCACGACCAAGAGACAGAGAAAGCAUAGGUUGCUCGGGUGCAUGCUAGAGGCUAGAGCUGCAGGAGGCUCGGCGGGAGCAUCCUGCUGCUUGGCGGUGGACGACAAGGACUUCCUCGCACACGAUUUGUCUUCUAAGAUUUACGGCGCCAAGGGCGACCAGGAAGGCAUGUUGCCGUUUUGUUUGUUCCCAGCCCGACUAUGGUUGUCCAGCGAGUCCAGCAUGUUGUUAUUUGCCCCAGUUUUUCUGGUUCUUCUCUGUUGAUUCAUGUAACAGUGCGAAUGAGGAACCAUUUUGUUUGUUCCCAG